rnacentral:misc_RNA from 1 species
UCUCCGUAGGUGAACCUGCGGAGGGAUCAUUACAGAGUUCAUGCCCUACCGGGUAGAUCUCCCACCCUAUGUUAUUAUUACUUUGUUGCUUUGGCGGGCCGUUAGGCUCCGGCCCGACUACCGGCCCCGGCUGGUAAGCGCCCGCCAGAGGACCCAAAACCCUGAAUAUUAGUGUCGUCUGAGUACUAUAUAAUAGUUAAAACUUUCAACAACGGAUCUCUUGGUUCCGGCAUCGAUGAAGAACGCAGU